rnacentral:misc_RNA from 1 species
GAUGAAGAACGUAGCGAAAUGCGAUAAGUAAUGUGAAUUGCAGAAUUCAGUGAAUCAUCGAAUCUUUGAACGCACAUUGCGCCCAUUAGUAUUCUAAUGGGCAUGCCUGUUCGAGCGUCAUUUCAACCCUCAAGCCUUAGUUGCUUGGUGUUGGGAGCUUAUCCUGCCGAAAGGCGGGACAACUCCUUAAAAUCAUCGGCGGAGUCGCGGUGACCCCAAGCGCAGUAAUUCUCUUUUUCUCGCUUUAGGUGUUAACGCUGGCUUCUAGCCGGUAAAACCCCCCCCCCUAUUUCUAAUGGUUGACCUCGGAUCAGGUAGGACUACCCGCUGAACUUAAGCAUAUCAAUAAGCGGAGGA